rnacentral:lncRNA from 1 species
UGUAAUUUAAGUUUGGGGGUAUGUUUAUUGAUAUUAGUGUGUUCAUGAAUCUUAUCAAAAUGUUUUCAAAAGAGUUUUAUUGAGUCAAGAAGGGGAUAAUGAACUUAUUAGAUUUUUGCUUGUUAUCUAACUACUCUUUAGCACCAUUCUAGAUUUACUGAUUGCAGAUAGUACUAAAGAUACUAAAGUUGAUCAACCUUUCAACUAUUCACACUUGCUGAGAUUGUUUGAAGGAACCAAAGCUGACCUCCAACACUAAACUUGAUACAACUGCUUGUCUUGGGACUUGGUAUACAUGGGAUCAGAUUCUUCAAACAAUUCUAGAAGGUAAAAGCCUC